AUGGUGGGCCUCCUAGGUGGCGGCGCGCGGGCCUGGAGGCUCAGCGACGAGGCGGCUAACGGCGCAGUUGGAGGAGGGGCGGCGACGGAGGCGGACUACAUGCGGCGGCUGCACGGCCACGCGCCCGGCGAGAACCAGUGCACCUCCGCACUCGUCAAGCACAUCAAGGCCCCCGUCCACCUCGUUUGGUCGCUAGUGCGGAGCUUCGACCAGCCGCAGCGGUACAAGCCGUUCGUCAGCCGCUGCGUGGUGCGCGGUGGCGACCUCGAGAUCGGCAGCGUGCGGGAGGUCAACGUCAAGACCGGCCUGCCGGCCACAACUAGCACCGAGAGGCUCGAGCAGCUGGAUGACGACGAGCAUAUCCUCAGUGUCAAGUUCGUUGGAGGCGAUCACCGGCUCAGGAACUACUCAUCCAUCAUAACAGUCCACCCACAGAGUAUUGAUGGGCGGCCAGGGACACUUGUGAUCGAGUCCUUCGUGGUUGAUGUGCCAGACGGCAACACAAAGGAUGAGACUUGCUACUUCGUUGAGGCCGUGAUCAAGUGCAACCUUACAUCUCUCGCUGAGGUAUCGGAGCGGCUAGCAGUUCAGUCACCUACAUCGCCGCUUGAACAAUAG
rnacentral:rRNA from 1 species